GAAAAUGCUUCACGAGAAUGUCAUUAACAUUAACACAUAAAUCAAUUUAAUUAUUUUCUUUCUCCUUAUUUCACAUAUUUUUAUGUUUAAAAUAAUGGUAUUGUAACGUGUUACACUUAAAUUGUCUAAUGUCAUAUGAUAUCAUGUCGCGCAAGUGUAAUAUGAAAAAAUAAUAGAAUUCAUAACUCAAUUAUCAGAAACAUUGUACUAUAUCGGGGUUGGCUUUGAACUCUAAAAUUUUUCACUUAACAAGUGAAUUUUUAAUUAUUAGACAAUUUAAUAAGAAAAAAAUUAUGCCCUUACCCUGUUUCAUCACACCUAAGAAUUUGUUUUAGACAAACUUAAGAAAAACUUAUUUGACAAGAACACUAUGCAAAACGAUUUAUGAAAAAAAGAAAAAAGAAUUUGACUUGAUAAAUAAUAAAAAACACAAAUUUCAUUCAUUUUUCAAGAUAUGCAACAAGGGGUUCUUGCUAAGCAUAAUUUGGUUUUAUAGUUCAUAUUUUGAAGUUUGAAGGCAAUCCUACGUAAAUAUUGUCUGCAGGUACCUAAUAUGUGAGACUAAUCUCUUAUGCUAAACUCCUAUUUGAGGAGUAUCAGUUGCUAAAUGUGAGAGGCUAGUUCCUUAUGCUAAAUGGUUGAAAAUUGAAAUACCAACACGCAUAAAAUAAAAAACACCAA
rnacentral:lncRNA from 1 species